GAAUGAACGCUGGCGGCGCGCCUAAUACAUGCAAGUCGAGCGAGAAGACGUAGCAAUACGUUUGUAAAGCGGCGAACGGGUGAGGAAUACAUGGGUAACCUACCCUCGAGUGGGGAAUAACUAGCCGAAAGGUUAGCUAAUACCGCGUACGCUUCUUGGACUUCGGUUCAGGGAGGAAAGCGAUGCCGAGGGUAUCGCGCUCUUGGAUGGGCUCAUGUCCUAUCAGCUUGNGGUGAGGUAACGGCUCACCAAGGCUUCGACGGGUAGCUGGUCUGAGAGGACGAUCAGCCACACUGGCACUGCGACACGGGCCAGACUCCUACGGGAGGCAGCAGUAAGGAAUAUUGCGCAAUGGGCGAAAGCCUGACGCAGCGACGCCGCGUGGGGGAUGAA
rnacentral:rRNA from 1 species